rnacentral:rRNA from 2 species
UAGGGAAUCUUCCACAAUGGACGCAAGUCUGAUGGAGCAACGCCGCGUGAGUGAAGAAGGUUUUCGGAUCGUAAAGCUCUGUUGUUGGUGAAGAAGGAUAGAGGCAGUAACUGGUCUUUAUUUGACGGUAAUCAACCAGAAAGUCACGGCUAACUACUUGCCAGCAGCCGCGGUAAUACGUAGGUGGCAAGCGUUGUCCGGAUUUAUUGGGCGUAAAGCGAGCGCAGGCGGAAUGAUAAGUCUGAUGUGAAAGCCCACGGCUCAACCGUGGAACUGCAUCGGAAACUGUCAUUCUUGAGUGCAGAAGAGGAGAGUGGAAUUCCAUGUGUAGCGGUGGAAUGCGUAGAUAUAUGGAAGAACACCAGUGGCGAAGGCGGCUCUCUGGUCUGCAACUGACGCUGAGGCUCGAAAGCAUGGGUAGCGAACAGG